rnacentral:rRNA from 1 species
UGGGGAAUAUUGGACAAUGGGCGAAAGCCUGAUCCAGCCAUGCCGCGUGUGUGAAGAAGGUCUUAUGGUUGUAAAGCACUUUAAGCGAGGAGGAGGCUACUUUAGUUAAUACCUAGAGAUAGUGGACGUUACUCGCAGAAUAAGCACCGGCUAACUCUGUGCCAGCAGCCGCGGUAAUACAGAGGGUGCAAGCGUUAAUCGGAUUUACUGGGCGUAAAGCGCGCGUAGGCGGCUAAUUAAGUCAAAUGUGAAAUCCCCGAGCUUAACUUGGGAAUUGCAUUCGAUACUGGUUAGCUAGAGUGUGGGAGAGGAUGGUAGAAUUCCAGGUGUAGCGGUGAAAUGCGUAGAGAUCUGGAGGAAUACCGAUGGCGAAGGCAGCCAUCUGGCCUAACACUGACGCUGAGGUGCGAAAGCGUGGGGAGCAAACAGG